rnacentral:tRNA from 1 species
GGGUGUAGUUUAGUGGUAGAAUAUCUGCCUUCCAAGCAGAGGACGGCAAAUUCUAUUAUUGCCGAUUCUCCCCA